rnacentral:ncRNA from 1 species
GGUAAAGAGGUUCGCGACCAUCCCUCUAUAAAAAACUAGGCCAAU